GCAGCAGCCGCGGUAAUACGGAGGGGGCUAGCGUUGUUCGGAAUUACUGGGCGUAAAGCGCACGUAGGCGGCUUGGUAAGUUAGAGGUGAAAGCCUGGAGCUCAACUCCAGAAUUGCCUUUAAGACUGCCGAGCUAGCAGGUGAGAGAGGUAAGUGGAAUUCCGAGUGUAGAGGUGAAAUUCGUAGAUAUUCGGAAGAACACCAGUGGCGAAGGCGGCUUACUGGCUCAUACUGGACGCUGAGGUGCGAAAGCGUGGGGAGCAAACAGGAUUAGAUACCCCAGUAGUCCCUGUCUCUUAUAA
rnacentral:rRNA from 1 species